rnacentral:rRNA from 1 species
AAUCAACGCUGGCGGCGUGCCUCAGACAUGCAAGUCGAACGCGAAAGUCCCCCUCGGGGGACAAGUAGAGUGGCGCACGGGUGAGUAACACGUAGGUAAUCUACCUUCGGGUGGGGAAUAACAAUCGGAAACGGUUGCUAAUACCGCAUAAUGCAGCGGCACCUAAUGGUGACAGUUGUUAAAGCGGGGGAUCGCAAGAUCUCGCGCCUGAAGAGGAGCCUGCGGCGGAUUAGCUAGUUGGUAGGGUAAUGGCCUACCAAGGCGACGAUCCGUAGCCGGCCUGAGAGGGCGGUCGGCCACACUGACACUGACAUACGGGUCAGACUCCUACGGGAGGCAGCAGUCGGGAAUUUUGGGCAAUGGGCGAAAGCCUGACCCAGCAACGCCGCGUGAAGGAUGAAAUCCCUCGGGAUGUAAACUUCGCAAGAACGGGAAGAAUAAGUUUGUGCUAAUACCACAAGCGAUGACGGUACUGUUUGUAAGCUCCGGCUAACUCCGU